ACAGGGUUGAAGAAAUGAGAUGGAGAUGCGUCCUUCCUCAGCAACAACUCUUUCCACCAUAUUAAAUUAUCACAUGAUGAAGAAAGGGCAGGCAGCACUAUUAUUAUAUUCUCACCAUCCACCACCAUCAUCAUUAUAUAUAUUUAUUACUAUAUCUAUAUUUUUAUUUCAUAUAUACAUACAUACCUCACUCUCACUCACUCACUCACACACAGGCGAAGAAGAUAACCCACAAGCAUGAGUUUAUCAAUUUUUCAAGGAUUCACCAAAUCACUUGCAAUGACUGUGAUCUCUGAAAUUGGUGAUAAAACAUUUUUUGCAGCUGCUAUCUUGGCAAUGCGCCAUCCAAGGAGACAAGUCUUGGCUGGCUGUCUUUCAUCUCUGAUUGUUAUGACCAUUUUAUCUGCUGCUGUUGGAAUGGCUGCUCCAAACCUUAUUUCUCGAACAUUGACUAAGCAUAUAGCCACUGUAUUGUUUUUUGGUUUUGGACUAUGGUCUUUAUGGGAUGCAUAUAAUGAGGAUGGAGAGUCUGAAGAGUUGGCUGAAGUUGAAGCUGAAUUGGAUGCUGAUAUAAAAGCUGAUGGCGGAAAACCUAAAUCAAAUAACAAGGGUGACGAUGAUUCGAAGAAAAAGAAUAGGCCAUUUAUGACUCAAUUCUUCUCGCCCAUCUUUCUAAAGGCGUUUUCUAUAACUUUCUUUGGUGAAUGGGGCGACAAAAGUCAGUUGGCUACAAUAGGUUUGGCUGCAGCUGAGAACCCAUUGGGCGUUGUUCUUGGUGGGAUCUUAGGGCAAGCGUUGUGUCAGAUUGCUGCUGUCUUUGGAGGAAAGAGCUUAGCGACUCAAAUAUCUGAGAGAUUUAUUGCACUAUCGGGUGGACUUCUUUUCAUUGUCUUUGGCAUCCAAUCAUUGUUAUCAACGGCCAACUCCUGAUUCCGAAUGGGACUGAAAACUAGGAACGAGUUGGUGGCAUUGAAGAAAACAGUGGUUGUAUUUCCCAUUUGGCAAAAGUUCAAGAUUUUGUGAAAUCAAAGUUGAACAAAUUGAAAGCGUUUUUAUCAUUGCCAUUCGAAAGAGCUUAUGCUCAUAUCACUUGUAUCAUUGUGGUGGUUGAUAACUCAAGGUGUUUUUUUCUCCUUAGCUUCCAAUGCUUACAAAGUAAGAAGUGGGGGCAAAUCCAAAUCCGCCAAAAAAACCAAGAAGAUCGCCAAAGAAAGGAAACGUCACUGCCAUGAACAAUGUGAAUGCUGCAAUUUUUGAUAGAUACUAACAUUGUAUUAGCAUUCUUGGUUAUAUUGGGAAAACCAAUUAGUUAUAUUUCGGAAAGAAAAAGAAACAGAGGCAAAAAGUAUUUACCAACAUAAGUAGAACGAACAACCAGUCUAAGUGGAAGUCCAGAAGGGAUACUAAAUUUUUUCAUCA